UUUUCAUUCAAAUUGCAAAUUAAGUAGCUGACAUAGGCUCAUAGCUUCAAGAAUAACACCAUGUUCAUUAAACAAAAAAGAAUGAAGCAGCUUAGUCAAAAAUCUCGAGGACCAAUCGGUACGCACAAUUCGAAACUCAAUGGAUAAUGAGCCCACUACUCUACCCUUCUACUUCUAUACCAGGAUUUGUCACUAGCCCGAAACUCGAUGGCAAUGAGCCACUAGGAUUUGG
rnacentral:misc_RNA from 1 species